rnacentral:lncRNA from 1 species
AUUGCAAGCAUAUUUCUUUGAAUGACUCCAGUAAAAUUAAGCAUCAAGUAAACAAGUGGAAAGUGACCUACACUUUUAACUUGUCUCACUAGUGCCUAAAUGUAGUAAAGGCUGCUUCAGUUUUGUAUGUAGUUGGGUUUUUUGGAGUCCGAAGGUAUCCAUCUGCAGAAAUUGAGGCCCAAAUUGAAUUUGGAUUCAAGUGGAUUCUAAAUACUUUGCUUAUCUUGAAGAGAGAAGCUUCAUAAGGAAUAAACAAGUUGAAUAGAGAAAACACUGAUUGAUAAUAGGCAUUUUCAUGGUCUUUUUAAUGUUUUCUGUUGUUAAACAUUUCAAGAUUUAUUGAUUUUUUUUUUCACUUUCCCCAUCACACUCACAGGCACGCUCACACUUUUUAUUUGCCGUAAUGAACCGUCUAGCCCCUGUGGAGAUCUCCUAUGAGAACAUGUGUUUUCUGAUAACUCACAACCCUACCAAUGCUACUCUCAACAAGUUCACAGAGGAACUUAAGAAGUAUGGAGUGACGACUUCGGUUUGAGUUUGUGAUGCUACAUAUGAUAAAGCUCCAGUUGAAAAAGAAGGAAUCCACGUUCUAGAUUGGCCAUUUGAUGAUGGAGCUCCAUCCCCUAAUCAGAUAGUAGAUGAUUGGUUAAACCUGUUAAACACCAAAUUUCGUGAAGAGCCAGGUUGCUGUGUUGCAGUGCAUUGCGUUGUGGAAUUGGGAAGGGCACCUGUGCUGGUUGCACUUGCUUUGAUUGAAUGUGGAAUGAAGUACGUAGAUGCAGUUCAGUUUAUAAGACAAAAAAGAAGGGGAGUGUUAAAUUCCAAACAGCUGCUUUACUUAAGAUGCGAUUACGCUUCAGAGAUACCAAUGGGCAUUGCUGUGUUCAGCAGAAAGAAAUGUAAAUGAAGGCUGACUUGAUUGUGGCAUUUAGAGGGAACUCCUGGUACCUGGAAAUGUGAAUCUGGACUCUUACCUGUGUCAUCAAAGUAGUGAUGGAUUCAAUACUCCUCAACCACUCUCCUAAUGAUCAGAACAAAAGCAAACAAGAAAUCUCUCUAUAAAAUGAAUAAAAUGUUUAAGAAAAAAAAAGAGUUCGAGACCAGCCUGGACAACAUGGUGAAAUCCCAUCCCUACAAAGGUUAACUGGGCUUGGUGGCACGUGCCUGUAAUCCCAGCUACUCAGGAGACUGAGACAGGAGAAUGGCUUGAACCUGGGUGGCUGAGGUUCCCGUGAGCUGAGAUUAAAAAAAAAAAUCAUACUUCCCUAGUAUCUAAAGUUGAUAUCUGAUUCCAGGCCUCUUUCAACUUUUUUUGUUUGUUUGUUUGUUUUUUUGAUAUGGAGUCUCGCUCUGUCAUCCAGGCUGGAAUGCAAAUGGCACGAUCUUGGCUCACUGCAACUUCCACCUCCAGCGUUCAAGCGAUUCUCCUGCC